GAUGAACGCUGGCGGCGUGCCUAACACAUGCAAGUCGAGCGAAGCGCCUUACUUGAUUUCUUCGGGAUGAAAGUAUUGUGACUGAGCGGCGACGGGUGAGUAACGCGUGGAUAACCAGCCUCAUACAGGGGGAUAACAGUUAGAAAUGACUGCUAAUACCGCAUUAAGACCACAGCACCGCAUGGUGCAGGGGUAAAAACUCCGGUGGUAUGAGAUGGAUCCGCGUCUGAUUAGGUAGUUGGUGGGGUAACGGCCUACCAAGCCGACGAUCAGUAGCCGACCUGAGAGGGUGACCGGCCACAUUGGGACUGAGACACGGCCCAA
rnacentral:rRNA from 1 species